rnacentral:rRNA from 1 species
UGCGGACAUAUCAUAACGAAGAGGUAUCGUAAUUGAAGAGGUUUGGAAAGACCCACCACAGAAGGUAAUAGUCCUGUAUGUUAAACGAGAAGACUUUAGAUAUGAUCCAGAGUACCACGGGACACGUGAAACCCUGUGGGAAGCAGGAGGGACCACCCUCCAAGGCUAAAUACUACCUAGUGACCGAUAGCGUAUAGUACCGUGAGGGAAAGGUGAAAAGAACCCCGGGAGGGGAGUGAAAUAGAACCUGAAACCCUGCACUUACAAGCUGUGGAAGCACAUUUCUUGUGUGACCGCGUACUUUUUGUAGAACGGGCCAACGAGUUACGUUAAGUAGCAAGGUUAAGCACUUAAGGUGCGGAGCCGUAGCGAAAGCGAGUUUUAACUGAGCGUUCAGUUACUUGACGUAGACCCGAAACCGGGCGACCUACCCAUGAGCAGGAUGAAGCGAAAGUAAAAUUUCGUGGAGGUCCGAACCCACGAGCGUUGAAAAGCUCGGGGAUGACUUGUGGGUAGCGGUGAAAUUCCAAUCGAGCCCGGAGAUAGCUGGUUCUCCCCGAAAUAGCUUUAGGGCUAGCCUCAAGGUGAGAGAUACGGAGGUAGAGCACUGAAUGUCCUAGGGGGUAUUGCACCUACCGAAGACUAUCAAACUCCGAAUGCCGUCAUCUUAUACUUGGGAGUCAGACUGUGGGUGAUAAGAUUCAUAGUCGAAAGGGCAACAGCCCAGAUCGUCAGCUAAGGUCCCUAAAUGUAAGUUAAGUGGUAAAGGAUGUGGGAUUGCACAGACAACCAGGAUGUUGGCUUAGAAGCAGCCACUCAUUCAAAGAGUGCGUAAUAGCUCACUGGUCGAGUGAUCCUGCGCCGAAGAUUUCCGGGGCUAAAACUUACUACCGAAGCUACGGCAUCAGUAAUGAUGGGUAGGGGAGCUUCCCAUACGGGUUGAAGCAUGACCGUAAGGACAUGUGGACAGUAUGGGAGUGAGAAUGUUGGCAUGAGUAGCGAGAUGUGGGUGAGAAUCCCACAGGCCGUAAACCCAAGGUUUCCAGGGGAAGGUUCGUCCGCCCUGGGUUAGUCGGGACCUAAGCUGAGGCCGAAAGGCGUAGGUGAUGGACAACAGGUUGAUAUUCCUGUACUACCGAUAACCGUUUGAGAGAAGGGAUGACACAGUAGGAUAAGCUAAGCACACUGUUGGUUAUGUGUGCCCAAGCAUUGAGGCAGUCAAAGUAGGCAAAUCCGCUUUGAUAAUGCUGGGAUGUGAUGGGGAGCGAAAUUUAGUAGCGAAGUAGCUGAUUUCACACUGUCAAGAAAAGUCUCUAUCGAGGUUAAAGGUACCCGUACCGCAAACCGACACAGGUGGGUGAGGAGAGUAUCCUAAGGCCAGCGAGAGAACUGUUGUUAAGGAACUCGGCAAAAUGACCCCGUAACUUAGGGAUAAGGGGUGCCACCAUCAGGUGGCCGCAGAGAAUAGGCCCAAGCGACUGUUUACCAAAAACAUAGGUUUCUGCUAAGUCGCAAGACGAUGUAUAGGAGCUGACGCCUGCCCGGUGCUGGAAGGUUAAGGGGAUCUGUUAGAGCAAUCGAAGCAGUGAACUUAAGCCCCAGUAAACGGCGGCCGUAACUAUAACGGUCCUAAGGUAGCGAAAUUCCUUGUCGGGUAAGUUCCGACCCGCACGAAAGGCGUAACGAUUUGGGCACUGUCUCAACAACAGACUCGGUGAAAUUGUAAUUCCGGUGAAGAUGCCGGAUACCUGCG